AAUUUAGUAAAACGUGUGCAUGAUUUAGUAAAAGGAGCGCACAUUCUCUCGAUACAAAAAAAUAUCUUGCAAUGACACCUCCUGGGCUCCGUACACACUUCAUCACUUACUAUCUUUAGUAUCAGGACUGAACUGAACAUACUGAAAGGUUCUCCUUCACUUGUGAUCAGACCCCUGGGUGGUGUUGAAUCUGUAUAUCAAAAUUACAAUAUGUGUCAGUUCAGUAGCAGUGCUUUAAGCUCGAGUGGAAAAACAAAUACAGUAAGUUAUUGUUAAAUAGUAAAUAUCCAUAUUGUUUCACAUUUCAUAUUCAUCUAAACACUGGUAAAUAUUAUUAAAAUGCUUAAAUAGUUAAGCCUUCCAUACUGGUGUUUUAAUACCAUAACUAUACUUGACAGUUAAGGGUAAAUACACUAGGCCUACUCACAAAAAGUUAGGGAUAUCUGGCUUUCGGGUGAAAUUUAAGGUUUCAGUUCUGCAACAUUGAACUGUUGGACAUACACAUUCCAAAGUUUAGAGAAGGUCACAUUAAGUUCACCUAUAAAGGUUAUAGUGGAUUUUAGGUUCAUCCUGAAAUUUCACCCGAAAGACUUUUUGUGAGUAGUGUAUAGGUACAUUUCUAUAAAUGAAUAUAGUACAUUUCUUUCUUCAUUUAUCCGUCCACAGAUUUGUAUUCUAUUCCAUUGAGAUUUGUAUUAAGCUACACAAUGUUCACCAAUCGUGGUCUGGUUAUAUUAAUUAUACUGACGGACUGACCUGUCCUUCCAUAACAAACUGCUCAAUAUCUGUCAGAUCAUAGUAUGUCCAUCAUUAUUAAAGGUUAUAUUAAAAAUGCAUACAAGGUUUGAAAUCUGCCUGUAAUAUCUGAGUCUUAAUGAUCUUGUACACGGUCACAGGUUUCGUCUUGCUUCAUUUCACCUCAAUUCAUCAUGAACAUUUCAACAUCUUUCAGCAUUUUGCUUAUAUAUUUUUUUUCAUUUGUUUAGGUAUUUAUUGAUAAGUCAGGGAGUCUCGCUGUCUUCUUUGAAAGUAUUCUCCUCUUAUUGGUGCUAACAAAGCAUUAUCCUCUGUUUUUUGAGGGUACUUGUCACCUGAAUUACCAUGUUACAUACACCUACUUGAAUGGAAUGUAAAAAUCCAUGUUGUGCAUUUUGUUAACUGUAAUAAAUACAUAUAUCACAUUGCA